rnacentral:rRNA from 1 species
GAUGAACGCUGGCGGCGUGCCUAAUACAUGCAAGUAGAACGCUGAAGCUUGGUGCUUGCACCGAGCGGAUGAGUUGCGAACGGGUGAGUAACGCGUAGGUAACCUGCCUCUUAGCGGGGGAUAACUAUUGGAAACGAUAGCUAAUACCGCAUAAAAGUCGACAUUGCAUGAUGUUGACUUGAAAGGUGCAAUUGCAUCACUAAGAGAUGGACCUGCGUUGUAUUAGCUAGUUGGUGAGGUAACGGCUCACCAAGGCAACGAUACAUAGCCGACCUGAGAGGGUGAUCGGCCACACUGGGACUGAGACACGGCCCAGACUCCUACGGGAGGCAGCAGUAGGGAAUCUUCGGCAAUGGGGGCAACCCUGACCGAGCAACGCCGCGUGAGUGAAGAAGGUUUUCGGAUCGUAAAGCUCUGUUGUAAGAGAAGAACGAGUGUGAGAGUGGAAAGUUCACACUGUGACGGUAACUACCAGA